GCCCAGCCGUAAACUUUUACUUACACCUAAAUCGCCAGGGAACUACGAGCCAAGCUUAAAACCCAAAGGACUUGACGGUACCCCAUAUCCCCCUAGAGGAGCCUGUCCUAUAAUCGAUAAUCCACGUUUAACCUCACCAUUUUUAGUUAAUCAGCCUGUAUACCUCCGUCGUCAGCUUACCACGUGAGCGUAAAUUAGUGAGCCUAAUGUUUUUUCACCAACACGUCAGGUCAAGGUGCAGCAAAUGAAAUGGAAAGAGAUGGGCUACACUUUCUAUUAUAGAAAAAACGAAAAACUACCUAUGAAAUCUAGUUGGAAGGCGGAUUUAGCAGUAAAAAGAAAUCAGCAUGUUCAUUUUAACUCGGCACUGGGGUGUGU
rnacentral:rRNA from 1 species